ensembl:piRNA 21ur-7032 ncRNA
UUUUCUUAGGGCUUUUGGCAA